AGAGAAGAUCAUUGAAGAUGUCCA
rnacentral:siRNA from 1 species